rnacentral:lncRNA from 1 species
UUGUGCUAUUUGUACUCCAAGUCAAAAGACAAAAAAUUUAAAAAAAAAAAACAAACAAACUUGUUUAGAGUGUCAUUAACAUGCAAUAUUGGGUCCAAAGUGUUUGGGGGUGAGGAGGAUGAAUCAAAUGACCCAUAGCAAGAUUAAAAUUGCUUUGAGGAAGUCUAUAGUUUAUAUUAAAAAUUAAUGCGAAUUUUGUUCAUCAAUACAUUGGUAUGUGUUUUAAUAUAAAAAUAUUUUUGAACUUAGAAAAGUUUACUUGGCAUUGAGUGAACACUGCUUGUCUAGGAAGCUAUGUCAUACUCAUUUGUCCCUUGCACACUGCUAAAAAUCUUUGAGAUAAAUCAAUGUCUUUUAGGCUAGACCAAAUAAAAACAAAAGCUUACUAAAACUGUCUACUUCUAACUAUUUUAAGUUCAAACUUAUAAAAUAUUAUGAGGUCAUCAUACAAGAUGACUGGUCAACUUCAUUUUUAAAAUCAAAAUGGCUUUUAGGUAUUGAAUAUUUCAAAGCAAAAAACCUUACGGGUAGCCCACAGUUUUCAAUUUUCAGUCAACUUUGGUCUAAGUAAUAA